GAUGAACGCUAGCUACAGGCUUAACACAUGCAAGUCGAGGGACCGGCGCACGGGUGAGUACCACGUAUCCAACCUGCCCUUUUCUCGGGGAUAGCCUUUCGAAAGAAAGAUUAAUACCCGAUGUAAAGUAUGGGGAUGCGUUCCAUUAGGUUGUUGGUGAGGUAACGGCAAACCAAGCCUUCGAUGGAUAGGGGUUCUGAGAGGAAGGUCCCCCACAUUGGAACUGAGACACGGUCCAAACUCCUACGAGAGGCAGGAGUGAGGAAUAUUGGUCAAUGGGCGUUAGCCUGAAACAGCCAAGUAGCGUGAAGGAUGAAGGCUUAUGGGUCGUAAACUUCUUGUAUAUAAGAAUAUGUAUUAUAUGAAUAAGGAUCGGCUAACUCCGUGCCAGCAGCCGCGGUAAUAC
rnacentral:rRNA from 1 species